GCCAGUGUGGCAAAGUCACGGGCCGAGGGCUCGGUGAUUUUACAAAAAAAAAACUCAUUUCCCUACGCUCUUGCGAAAGCCCUCCCGCACAUUAUUCUUCUUUUAAUUUCUUUCUCGAAUUUCUUGUGGCCUAACCCUAAAUCACUGAAUCCCCGACGCGGCGAGGUAUAGGGCAGCGAGGGAGAGGGCGGCAGGCGGAGAGGGAGAGGAUGGCGACAUGGCUGACAUUGGUGAGCCUGGGUCGAGCCGACGAGGUGCUGUCACGGCAGGUAUACGAAGAGGUACGGGGCUGGAAUGGAAAAUAGAAAGAAAACAGUGACAUUUUUGCAAAAAUUUCAUUCACCUUGCAUUGCCUGG
rnacentral:lncRNA from 1 species